GAGGUCAUAGAAGAGGUUAAAGGCCCAGAGUUGCAUGCUGAGCAGAGAUGUGCCUGGACUCCAUGUCUGGAAAGGUCCAGUCACAACUUUCUGAGUGGUCUCCCUAAGUCCCCUCACCGCCAGCAUGCCUCCCACCCUAGCCCAGAGUGAUUUUCCAGGCUGAUCAUUCCGUCGACCACAUCGCUCUCCAGAGUAAGAUGCUAUCGCAUGGAAAGUGGCUGAUCUCAAUUAUCAUGCUGGCAGGAAAGGGUGUGGCUUCAUUUGGAGUGGUGACGGAUGAGUCUGAGUUCCUGUUCACUCUGGGGACUGCGCAGCUCCAAUUGUAACUUCUUGGAGAGCAGAGACAUCUAAAACACCUAUGCAUUUCUUGAAUAAAUGGUCUGGUUCCCUUUUUGGGCACAGUUGUGGUAGAUCUCAGAAGGCACUGAAGUUUGACUAUAGAGCAAAAAGAAUUUUUAAUCAAGAACCUCGACGGAAAGAGAAAUACAAAAUAGAUCCUCAAGGUUAGAGGGUUCUAAUCAUGUGAUUCACUUUGCAACUUCAAGAACAAAAAGCAUCUCUGAGUCUCAGGAAACAAUUGCUUUCAAGCAUGGGUG